GCUCCGGGCGUCGGCCUG
rnacentral:snRNA from 1 species